rnacentral:rRNA from 1 species
UACGUAGGGUGCGAGCGUUGUCCGGAAUUAUUGGGCGUAAAGAGCUUGUAGGCGGUUUGUCGCGUCUGCUGUGAAAAUCCGGGGCUCAACCCCGGACUUGCAGUGGGUACGGGCAGACUAGAGUGUGGUAGGGGAGACUGGAAUUCCUGGUGUAGCGGUGAAAUGCGUAGAUAUCAAGAGGAACACCUGAGGUGAAGACGGGUUGCUGGGCUGAUACUGACGCUGAGGCGCGAAAGCUAGGGGUAGCAAACGGG